rnacentral:lncRNA from 1 species
AAAUCCUGGAGCAGCUGUGAGCAGGGCAUUUGCUCCUUCUCUGGGCUGUGGAGAUACCUAAGCACACACACAAUCUUGGUGGCAGCAGAGGUGCUAUUGAGUAAAUAGAAAUGGCCAUGGAACUCUUAUUACAGCAUUCAUAGGGGUUAAAGAAGCUAAUAUGUUUGUCAAACAGGAGGGCUGAGUGGACGUGUCCUAUGGCCUCCCUUGGAAAUGGCUCUUUCUGCUUCAGAUAGUGGAAGGCUUCCAGACACACAGUCCCCACCCAUUCCUUCUCCUGGGGAAGUAGCCUUAACUUACACAGACAGCCCGAAAGAGUCUGGGGACUUGUAGCUCAGAACGAAGGAAAAUGACAUCCUCCAGCCUGGCUUAGGAACAUUGCUGUUCCCAACCCCGUACAGGAGACGCCUUUCUUCUUAUCUUCUUCUGGGGGAUUUUAGAGCCACUCAUCAUGAGUCACAGUGAAGAGCGUCCUGCCUUCCUUCACAGGACAGAAGGAGAGUUGGCAGCCCCAGGCUCACUCUAUCCCAUGGCCGUCCCUCCUGAGGCUUCACUUCUGCAAGGUAGGAGCCUGGAGAUGCUGCCCUAGCCAGGUAAAAGGAAGACAGAGACACUCAUCUACAUGUUAUCAUAGUCCCUUCCCCGAGGCUGGGAAAGGAGGAUUUUAUUCUCCAGGCAACGUCCACUGGCAACGCUGCCCAGGCAGCUGGUCCCUAGCCCCACUGGAGGCAUUCCAACCACUUAACACAGUUUUUCAAUUUCCACUGUUUUUGCACAUACAUUUCCAUCCCUGGGAUGGAUUGCCACGGGGCUUUCCUCUCCAAAAUUCUGAUGGAUGGCAUUUUUACCCUGCAAUGAUCCCUAAGUUAAAGUGAUAUUCACCAAUAUUUAUUACGUGGUAAUGGCAUGGAGCACCAGAUCAAAAAUUCAUGGCAAGCACACACUGCAACACUCUCCCUGAAUGCUCUCAGAGCAGAUAUAUGAUUCUAUGGAUAUGCACAUCUGUAUGUAAGUAGUGUACGCAUGCGUGUGCACUCAUAUACACACACACACAGCCUGGGCCACAUCUUGUCUUUCAACUCCGGUGGCACUACAGUAACAAACCGGUCUAGAAGCAGGCCUGAGAGACAGGAUUUCUCAACCAAGAGAUGGGCAGAUGUGAGUUUAAAGGAAGAGCCAGUAGCAGGAGGUUCAGUUUCUCCCACUCUACCACCAGCUGGGAGUUAAUUCAUCAGUUCUGGGACUCAUUCAAACAGCAUGGCAUGACACUGGUGGAAAGCAAACACAUCCUCUGAAUGCCUGCUGUAUUCUGCAGAGGAGAGCAGGGAGCUGAGCCUGGUAUCCGGAGCUCAAGGCCUGAUAGCCCGGACUCACAUGAAGGCCAGAGGAUGAGCUCCCAGAACUCCACGAGUCUUGGCCUAAUGUCUUUUAGCCAAGAGCAUUUGGUGAAACAAAAAAGACCCUUUGAGGCCAAGCGUGGUGGCUCAUGUCUGUAAUCCCAGCACUUUGGGGGGGCCAAGGCAGGGGAUCGCUCGAGGCAGGGAGUUCAAAACCAGCCUGGGAAACAUGGCAAGAUCCUGUCUCUACCAAUAAUUUAAAAAUUAGCCUGGUGUGGUGGCAUGUGCCUGUGGUUCCAGCUACUCAGGCAACUGGGAUGGGAAGAUAAGAUCACUUAAGCCCAAGCAUUCAAGCCUGCAAUGAGCUAUGAUUUUGCCACUGCACUCCAGCCUGGGCGAUAAAGAAAGGCCCUGUCUCUAAAUAAGAAUAAUAAGACCCUUCACAAGCCUCAACAAAGAUAGAUCCAAGAUCCUGGCUCCUCACUCCACAGGUAGCCAGAGAAGACCCUGCCAUCUCCUGAGCCUACCCUAACCUCUCCCACUAGGUUUGAUCCUCUCUCCUUUGUGUCCUGACCCACAUGACUGCCUGCACCCAUCCCCACCUUGGUAACAUUCCCCAGGAAAUCAUUUUAGUGCCUCUUUCCUGCCCUUAUGCCUCUAAUCUAUUUUGAUUUUCUGUUACUGUGCCUAGGAAUGCCAAUGCAUUGUUGAACAGAAGGGGCUAGGCAUCAGGGACAGCAUCCCACCUCUCUGGCCAUCUUUUAGCCAUUAAAAUUUGCCAUCACCUAUUGUUGACCUGCCGCCGAGCUCCAUGGAAAGAACACAAGAUACGUAUUGCAAUGGUGUGAAAACAUUUGGCUCCAAUUUUUUCUAUAUAUAUAUAAAUUUUUUUCUCCCUUUUCUUCCUCCUUUUGACCCACAGAAAAGAGAACCCUAAGUCCCCACACUCUGUCACUUCAUAAAUCUCUCUCUAAUUGCACCCUUGGGGUCUCUCUUGGCCAGUCUUUCAGAAGAAGGGCUACCUGGCCUUCCAAGGAUUGGUUUAUCACCUUAGUUGCUUUUUGCCAGGUUUUCUCCAUCACAAGAGUCUUUUCUUUAAUGACCUGAGCUAUUUACAAUAAGGAAAUAACGUGGUCAUAAUCAGAGCUGGGGUGAUUUUGCUUUAUACAAGCCUCUCUCUCUCUCUC